GACGAACGCUGGCGGCGUGCUUAACACAUGCAAGUCGAGCGGUAAGGCCCCUUCGGGGGUACACGAGCGGCGAACGGGUGAGUAACACGUGAGCAAUCUGCCCAUCACAUCGGGAUAACUCCGGGAAACCGAAGCUAAUACCGAAUACGACCACCUCCGGCAUCGGAUGGUGGUGGAAAGUUCCGGCGGUGAUGGAUGAGCUCGCGGCCUAUCAGCUUGUUGGUGGGGUAACGGCCCACCAAGGCUUCGACGGGUAGCCGGCCUGAGAGGGUGACCGGCCACACUGGGACUGAGACACGGCCCAGACUCCUACGGGAGGCGGCAGUGGGGAAUAUUGGACAAUGGGCGAAAGCCUGAUCCAGCAACGCCGCGUGAGGGAUGACGGCCUUCGGGUUGUAAACCUCUUUCAGCAGGGACGAAGCGCAAGUGACGGUACCUGCAGAAGAAGCACCGGCCAACUACGUG
rnacentral:rRNA from 1 species